GUGCCAGCAGCCGCGGUAAUACGUAGGGCGCAAGCGUUGUCCGGAAUUAUUGGGCGUAAAGAGCUCGUAGGCGGUCCGUUACGUCGGGAGUGAAAACCCGGGGCUCAACCCUGGGCCUGCUUUCGAUACGGGCAGACUAGAGUAUGGCAGGGGAGACUGGAAUUCCUGGUGUAGCGGUGAAAUGCGCAGAUAUCAGGAGGAACACCGGUGGCGAAGGCGGGUCUCUGGGCCAUUACUGACGCUGAGGAGCGAAAGCGUGGGGAGCGAACAGGAUUAGAUACCCUCGUAGUCC
rnacentral:rRNA from 1 species